GACGAACGCUGGCGGCGUGCCUAAUACAUGCAAGUAGAACGCUGCAGGAGGAGCUUGCUUCUCUGGAUGAGUUGCGAACGGGUGAGUAACGCGUAGGUAACCUGCCUGGUAGCGGGGGAUAACUAUUGGAAACGAUAGCUAAUACCGCAUAAGAGUAGAUGUUGCAUGACAUUUGCUUAAAAGGUGCACUUGCAUCACUACCAGAUGGACCUGCGUUGUAUUAGCUAGUUGGUGAGGUAACGGCUCACCAAGGCGACGAUACAUAGCCGACCUGAGAGGGUGAUCGGCCACACUGGGACUGAGACACGGCCCAGACUCCUACGGGAGGCAGCAGUAGGGAAUCUUCGGCAAUGGACGGAAGUCUGACCGAGCAACGCCGCGUGAGUGAAGAAGGUGUUCGGAUCGUAAAGCUCUGUUGUAGGAGAAGAACGAGUGUGAGAGUGGAAAGUUCACACUGUGACGGUAUCUUACCAGAAAGGGACGGCUAACUACGUG
rnacentral:rRNA from 1 species